CGGGGCUAACAGCGGGCACCCAGCGCGAGUUCCUCACGCCCCAGCCCUGGUUUUCAACUUCCCGCUGCUUUUAGCUCGCAGCGUUGGAGAGGAUGGCUGUCAGUUCCGCGGAGAUGCAGCUGGGCGAGGAACAGAGGAGUUUCAGUGAUCUGAAGCAGUCUUUCAGUUCCAUUGUUUGACUUGGGCUGGAUUUCUCAGCUACACGCCUGGAUGCUUCAGAGAGUCCUCACUCUCCAUCUAGUAAAAGGUUACAGUUGAGACAUUGUUAUGUUAACCCAGAAUUUCACAGGAUCACCAAACUCCUCCUGUCUUUGUCAUCUUGCAGAAUUUUACCUUCAG